AGCGGGGAUAACAACAGGCUGCGUGCGCACAUUAGGUUGAUGGAUCAGACGAGGAAGAAUAGCAAGGUUAUGGCUUCAUGUUGUUUGGUCUUUGGGUAGCAAUCAUGUUUUCGUCAGGCAUGAGGGAGACGUUAUGCAAUUUGAAGUGACCAAAUUUCACACACGGGAGAGACAUUUUGCGCAACAUGAAAAAGGGGAUUUUGUUGGAGAGUUGGUUGAUGAAAGAAGUUCUCCAUUGAUCAGAGAAUGUUGAAUAUAUAAAAGAAAUGUAUGUAUGCUGCAAAUGGAUCAACCGGGUUGUACUGAAUUUAUAUGGUAUUUAGACUUUGAUUCAAGGAAGAAAUACAGUCUCAAUCAGAUGCAUGAAUGUGAAGAAUCUAACCAGCAUUCAAGUGCACUAGUAUUUUUACUUGGACAAUUCUUGUCCAGCUGCCAUUCCUUUUCCUCAUCUCCAUUUCAUCAAGUCUAGUUUUCUACUUCCUAGUAGGGCUAAGAGAUGAAUUCAACUUCUUAAUGUACUUUGUGCUCAACAUUUUCAUGUCUCUUUUAGCAAGUGAAUCACUUAUGUUUCUCAUGGAAGUUGUUUAUCGUUUUCUUGUGUUCAUUUUAUUAUGCAGAAAAUCAUCUCUGCUUAUUAGUUGUAGGUGUCAAAGAGUAUGUACAGAAUUUAGUAGUUGAUUUGGCUUACUUGCAUAGUUGCAUUGUACAAUUAAAUUCUUUUUGAUCUAUUUUGCAUUUCCUAUAUCAGUUUUGAGUUUAUCAUGAAUUUUUGUA